rnacentral:rRNA from 1 species
UUUAAAUGUAAAAUUAAUUGCUUGAUUAGUAUUAGUUAUGUUCUUGAAAAUUAAAAAAUUUGGCGGUAUUUUAGUCUAUUCAGAGGAAUCUGUCCUAUAAUUGAUAUUCCACGAUUAAAGUAACUUAUUUUAAUUAGUUUGUAUAUCGUCGUAGUUUGAAUAUUUUUUAAGAAUUUAAAUGUUCAAAAUUUUUAAUUAAGAAAAGAAAUCAGAUCAAGGUGCAGUUUAUAAGUAAGGAGAGAUGGAUUACAAUAAUUUUAUUUAAAUGGAUUUAAAUAUUAAAAUUUUAUUGAAAGUGGAUUUGAAAGUAAUUUUAAUUAAUAUAUUAAAAUGAUUUUAGCUCUAAAAUAUGU